rnacentral:rRNA from 1 species
UAUUGCACAAUGGGCGAAAGCCUGAUGCAGCGACGCCGCGUGAGCGAAGAAGUAUCUCGGUAUGUAAAGCUCUAUCAGCAGGGAAGAAGGAAAUGACGGUACCUGAGUAAGAAGCCCCGGCUAACUACGUGCCAGCAGCCGCGGUAAUACGUAGGGGGCAAGCGUUAUCCGGACUUACUGGGUGUAAAGGGAGCGUAGACGGUGAAGUAAGUCUGGAGUGAAAGGCGGGGGCCCAACCCCCGGACUGCUCUGGAAACUAUUUGACUGGAGUGCAGGAGAGGUAAGCGGAAUUCCUAGUGUAGCGGUGAAAUGCGUAGAUAUUAGGAGGAACACCAGUGGCGAAGGCGGCUUACUGGACUGUAACUGACGUUGAGGCUCGAAAGCGUGGGGAGCAAACAGG